rnacentral:rRNA from 1 species
AGUCACUGACAUUAGAUACCCCCGUAGUCCAGGGUGUAAACGCUGCAGACUUGGUGUUGGGGCCCUUUGGGGGCAUUCAGUGCCGGAGAGAAGUUGUUAAGUCUGCUACUUGGGGAGUACGUCCGCAAGGAUGAAACUUAAAGGAAUUGGCGGGGGAGCACCGCAACGGGAGGAGCGUGCGGUUUAAUUGGAUUCAACACCGUAAACUCACCAGGGAAGACUGUUACAUGAAGGCCGAGAUGAAGACUCUGCUAGAUUUUCAG